rnacentral:rRNA from 1 species
UACGUAGGUCCCGAGCGUUGUCCGGAUUUAUUGGGCGUAAAGCGAGCGCAGGUGGUUUAUUAAGUCUGGUGUAAAAGGCAGUGGCUCAACCAUUGUAUGCAUUGGAAACUGGUAGACUUGAGUGCAGGAGAGUAGAGUGGAAUUCCAUGUGUAGCGGUGAAAUGCGUAGAUAUAUGGAGGAACACCGGUGGCGAAAGCGGCUCUCUGGCCUGUAACUGACACUGAGGCUCGAAAGCGUGGGGAGCAAACAGG